GGCCCAAUGGUCUAGACGUAUGAUACACGCUUCGGGACGAUAUGUCCCAGCAUUACGUAAUGCUGUGUCUGUGUGUGGUCCCGGGUUCAAUUCCCGGUUGGGCCC